UUUAUUGCAUCCUUCUAUUCGUUAAAUGCUGUAAUUCGCGUUAAAACAUCUGUUGUUGUCGAUUUAUAUACUACUUAAAAUAUCUUAUUUCUAGAAGUUCCGUAGAGUAUUAGUGACGGUUCAUUAAUCGAAUGUGGAUAGUUUAGUGUUUCAUACUUUAUCUACAGUUUACUGACCAAUUAGCUAUUUAAGUGGAUAUUGACUGCUUAUCUUUCUCUAUUGGAGUAUUAACGUCUUCAUAGUCAUUCUAAAUGUAUUAUAGAUUCAGAUCUGGUAUUUUGAAGGAUCCAGCUGUUUGUUGGUCGUAAUUGUGCUGUUGUUUUGUACUGUUUGUCUUUCAUGACAAAUGGAAGAAAAGCUAGGAAACUAACGCCUAUACGCACACAAUUAUUGGAUGAGAAACUGUCUGAGUUGAUUAUUUCGUAGGCAACAAUAUUGUGCCCUAGCACUUCUCGUUUUGUUUCACCGCUCGUACUUUAGCAACAUUUCUGAAGUGUUAUGUGUGUUUAAAUGCCAAAUUAUUUGGAGUAAGAAGAAUCUAUAUGUUACUACACUUUGUAGUUGUUAUUUAUCUAUCCUAAACAAGUAUGUUUUCCAGCAAGUUGGCAUCUUCUUAUGCAUGGGACAUGUAGUUGGAUGUUGUCUCUUCCAGGAAACUCUAUUACAUGUUUUCGAAACCCAACCCAAAAGUGGUAAUUCCAAAUUAUGUGUCCUCAAAGGAGGGACAGAGACACCAGUCAAACAUUUACCAAAAGCUAAGCGUGGAGUUGGAGCAAAAGAUGAUAAUUAGUAGUUUUCUGAAAAUAUUGAAAACAAAAAACUUGUUUUGAGAAGUAAAGAUAGUAGUGUAGUAAAGGGACAAAUGUAAUUAGAUGUUCUUGCUGCAUGACUCAUGUUUCGCAUAAGGAAUGUAUGAUUUCAAGAUCAAAAUAUCAAAGGUGCUGAAAUUUAUUUUGUUAAGCAGGUGGAUGCAUUAAACAUUUCUUCUUAAGACGUCUACAAUGUAUUGCUAUGUCCUUUGACUGUCUGUCUCUCUGGCUCUAUUGCAUUCUAUUUCCAAUUUUUACGUACUUUAUGUUUGUUCAUGAACUAGGCUUUGGAAAUGGUUUUCUAGUUGUAUUCAACUUGGGUUUGGCUACUGGGCAAUUUUGUAUUUGCCCCUGAGAUAUCAUAUCACAUAAUGCCAAUCACCUGCUCCGGGCACUUUGAGAAAAACGUUUCUUUCUCUUUCCUCCACUACUCCUAAUCUCUUCCCUCCUUAAUAAUCAAAUGAAGUAUAGUUACUGUUAAUUGUUUCAUUCGUUUGUGCUUGACACGUGAUUUGACAGAUGCAUGCAACAGAUUAUUUGUAGUGGCAUUGGCUACUCCAUAAAGAUGCUGCAUUUUGCAUUAGCUGGUUUUUUUUUUAUUAUAUUUGUUUAAUUAUUUUUUUUUUGGUUGCUACUUUCAUUUGCCUACGUAUACCCUGGCAUUGCUGAUGACUGCAAACUUGCAUGUCUGGAGGUACAGAAAGUACGUGGCUGGCCAGAAGUACUGAUAGAUAUUUAUAGCAUACUCUUGAUUGUUGUUCCAUGCAUGGUGACAUCUGGAUAAGAGAAUACGGUUCUGUAGCAUGUUAUGGUAUCCAGUCUCUUGCAUGAUUUCUUUGGCUUGGAUAAUAUUUGCUUAUUUGUUGUGCCAAAAAAAAAAGAAAAGAAAAAUGAUAUGGCUCUUUUGUGGAGUAGAAUAUGUGCUUAUUUGUGUAAAAGAAACUUGCCGAUAACAUCUGUAUGUUUAAUGUAACUUUGUUGGCCUACUUUACUAGGAUUCUGUGGUAGUCAAAGGAGCACGGUUUGAUAAUGGAAUGAUUGGCAUAUGUUGUUAUUGGGCAUGAGUUUGGCUUCUUGCAUAGUACAGUUAAGGUUUGGACUUGUAAGAAAUUCUUAAGGUGGACAAUUUAACAAAGUUACAGUUUGUUAUCUUUUGCAAAA